UGGCUCAGUGGUAGAGCUCUUGCCUUGCAUGCAGGAGGCCCUGGGUUCGAUUCCUCAG
rnacentral:tRNA from 1 species